AUUGAACGCUGGCGGCAUGCCUUACACAUGCAAGUCGAACGGUAACGCGGGGCAACCUGGCGACGAGUGGCGAACGGGUGAGUAACGCAUCGGAACGUGCCCAGUAGUGGGGGAUAGCCCGGCGAAAGCCGGAUUAAUACCGCAUACGACCUACGGGUGAAAGGGGGGGAUCGCAAGACCUCUCGCUAUUGGAGCGGCCGAUGUCAGAUUAGGUAGUUGGUGGGGUAAAGGCCCACCAAGCCUUCGAUCUGUAGCUGGUCUGAGAGGACGACCAGCCACACUGGGACUGAGACACGGCCCAGACUGCUACGGGAGGCAGCAGUGGGGAAUUUUGGACAAUGGGCGCAAGCCUGAUCCAGCCAUGCCGCGUGCGGGAAGAAGGCCUUCGGGUUGUAAACCGCUUUUGUCAGGGAAGAAACGCUCUGGGCUAAUACCUCGGGGUAAUGACGGUACCUGAAGAAUAAGCACCGGCUAACUACGUGCCAGCCGCCGCGGUAA
rnacentral:rRNA from 1 species